AUUUUGAAGACCUAAUCUCGCGGGAGGCACGAAUCUCAAAGCCGCGGGAGUUCUUUGGGCGCCUUUUCGCCGUGCAAAGGCUGAGAGCUAGGGUUUCGGAAGGCGGGAGGUUAAGUUUCGGCUGUUUGUCAGCGAUGGUAGUUUUUUGUGGAAGGGUUAAGCUACCGCUGAUGGCUGCGUCCUUUCUUGUCCUGCUCCUCUUCGUCGUCCUCUUUUCUUCUCCUGGAAUUUCACCCCGGCGCUUUGAUCGCAUAACGGAACGGGAGGGAGAAACCCGUCACAAAUUCAGCCGCAGGCUUCUCG